GUACGAAAGUAGGUCUUAGUGAUCCGGCGGUUCUGAAUGGAAGGGCCGUCGCUCAACGGAUAAAAGGUACGCCGGGGAUAACAGGCUUAUCGCGUCCAAGAGUUCAUAAUGAGCUCCCCUCAGGAGUAAUUCUGAGGUAAACAGCGGCUCAAAUCGGUGAAACCCUUAAAUAAAUCAUAAGGGCAAUACCGAGGGUAAGGUAGCUUGUCGUGGAAACGAAGGAGACGCAAUAUAUGCGUCAACAAAGCUUGACGAAAGUACAAAUCAGUCUAUUGAUAGGUUCUUUGUUAGGUGAUGAGUAUUUGGUAAAAACUACAAAUGGUUAUGCCUUCAGAGUCAAUCACGGACUGACACAGGAAGAAUAUGUAGAUUGGAAAUAUGCAAUUCUUUCUAAUUUCGUCAGGUCUGCUCCGAGAGUAAGUGGGCGGUGUUAUUAUUUCAGAACAAUAACACAUCCGACUUUCCAAGUUUUCAGAAACAGCUUUUAUAAAGGAACAAGAAAGAUUCUGCCUAUGCAGAUGUUAGAAAAAUAUCUUAAUUCCUUUGUAUUGGCUGUCUGGAUAAUGGAUGACGGAGCAAAAGAUGGCAAUCAACUGAGAAUAAAUUCUCAAAGUUUUGACAGAGAAGAAAAUCAGUAUUUGCAAAAGAUUCUGCGAGCUAAACUUGGAAUAGAAACUACGCUUAAUAAAGAUAAAGACAGAUUCAGAAUUCGUGUAAAAUCGGAGAGUAUGAAUAUGUUGAUUGCGUCAGUGAAACAUUAUUUUAUUCCGAGCAUGCUUUACAAGUUGCCCCUGUAACGACUUCUCCGUAAGGAGAGAUAGUAACUGAUAGUUGUCAGCUAAAUUUAUGGUUGCUAUAAUACGCCGCUAUCCUGAAAAGGAUAAAGGGAUAGUCUGUCUUAUUAGUAAUAAUAAGAAGUCACAUCGACGACGCGGUUUGGCACCUCGAUGUCGGCUCAUCACAUCCCAAGGGUUCGGCUGUUCGCCGAUUAAAGUGGUACGUGAGCUGGGUUUAAAACGUCGUGAGACAGUUUGGUCCCUAUCUUUCGUGGGCGCAGGAUAUUUGAGAGGAGCUGUUCCUAGUACGAGAGGACCGGAAUGGACGAACCAACGGUGCUCCAGUUGUCACGCCAGUGGCAUAGCUGGGUAGCUGUGUUCGGACUGGAUAACCGCUGAAAGCAUCUAAGCGGGAAGCCAACCUCAAGAUAAGAUAUCCCCUCUGUAUGGAAACAUGCAGGCUGAAGACCCCUUGAAGACUACAAGGUUGAUAGGCCGGGUGUAUAAGUUCAGUAAUGGAUUUAGCUUACCGGUACUAAUAGGUCGUGAGGCUUGGCCACAA
rnacentral:rRNA from 1 species